UUUAAACCUAAAAAGACUCCUAAACCCUAAACAUUAUUCAUCCUCUUCCUCUUUCUCAAGCAGCAGCCGCCCUCUAGCUCCCUUCUCCUCCGGCGAAUCCAGAGGAGGCAUCGCCGCCUCCUCUUUGCUGCUCACUUCUCCUUCCCCUUCGUUCUCUCCUUUUUCCAGCGAAGGCAGCAGCACCAGCCAGCGAGAGGAGCAGCAAGCUCUGGCCAGCAGCUACGAAUGAGAGCAUGCAAGCCACCGGCAAGGCAGUGUAGCAGCAGUAGCCGAUGAAGACAGCCAGCCAGGCGAGCAGCUGCUCCAGCCAGCAUUAGCCACCAGCAGACCAGCAGCUCCGACUGGCGACCAACAGCGCCAGUAGCAGCCACAACCAGCGGGCAGAGGCUCAACGCCAGCGUCCCUUUCCUCUUUUCCGGUGAGAACUCGAGGCCACCAGUAACGCCGAUGACAAGCAACCAACAGCGACAUCAAUCUCCGGUGAAGAUAAAUUUAGACAGAUCUAUUCAGAUCUGUCCGGGUACAUUUCUUUAAAAUUAUUGUCUCAUCUUUUAGCUAUUUUAUUCUUCUUUCUUAGUUGCAAUAUGAUUUCUGAUUUUUCUGAUGUAGAAGUAUUUGUAUGUAUGCUUACUUUGUACGAAAAUUAAUAAUCAUUUGUGAUUCUUAUUCUAAAAUUAAUGUGAAAACCCGAUAUUUGCCCAAAUCUGCCCGUUAUCGCUUGUUUAUUUGUUAAUCUUGAUAUAUAGUUCAUUGAUUUUAGUUUGUUCCACUCCCUAAAUCGAUUCUGCUUCUCAGUCUAAUUCAAAUUAGAAGCAAACUUGUUUAGAAUCAAUUAGAGCAUAAAUGGAUGUACUAAUGAUGCGCUUUGGAAUCUGUAUGUGAUUUGCAUAUGGUAUUUGUUAUGCUUAUAAUUGCAUUUCCUUUAGUUGUUUGUUACAUAACAUUAUUAGUUGAGAUAUUAUAGCUUACUUACAGGUUAACCUAAUUGAAUUCCUUGAUUUUGAAAAUUGCAUAUAGUAAGUCUUAAAUCAAUAAAUGAAAACAUGAACUAAUUUCCUUAUAUUUUUAGUGAAUGAUUUUAUAUGCUAUUAAUUAAUAGUUGUUGUAAAUUGAUCCCUCCUCCCUUAAUUAUUGUCCUAAGCAGAUUUCCCACAUGUUAUAUCCUUGGUAAGUGUUGAUUUUAUUUUGUUUCCUUUGCUUGUGGACUAAUUUUUACUUCCUUCGGAUAAGGAAUUGGUAGUGAAUAAUUUGGUCCCAAGAUUAUUCUUUUCCUUAGAUGUUUAUUCUGUCAAUUUGCGUAUAUUAAUGUAGUGAUUGAUUCCCUUGGCGUAAUUAUAAUUCAAAUAGAUUCUUACUUAUUUAUUUAUGGUAAUCUAGUAUUUGGUGAAUACUUGAUUGAGGAUUACUGCUUUUAUGCGCUAGCUGUGCUCAUUAUUUAAUUGCUCAUAUAUUUGGUGAAAUUAAAAUUAAAACCGAUUUUAUACUCCCUUUGAAUAAGGAAAAUAAUAAGUUAUUUGUCUCCUUAAAUUUAUUCCUUUCCUUUAGCGUCGUGCUUCCCCAUCAACUAUAUAAUCAGACCUCUGCCCUCACACUUAGACUCAUGUUUUACACAUUCUAUAAAGAGCAUAAAAUACUCUCUACUCUGAAAGUUUAAAGAUUUCGGUGAAUAUUCUAAGUGCUGCUUUACUCGAUUUUGCUGUGUUCGGGUCUAGUAUCGAAUCAAUUUGGAUCGUCAUUGCCGAUAAAUAAUUCUGCAUAACUGGUUAGCUCCGGUUACUAGUUUGAAUUUGCAUUGUUCGUAUCAUAUGUUUGAAAUAAUAAAGGAAGAGCCUGGGUCAGUUCCCUUUCCCCUCUUUUGUGAUGAUUUAUUUUGUUGAGUUUAUCAUUUGUUUGAGCGUGAAUUAAUCUGUGCUCAUAGCUUCUGCCCGUUAAAUAAAUUUUGUUGUAUUGUAUGUUGGUGUUGCUUUAUCUCCUUUACUUAGCAGGUUAUGUAAGUUUGAGAGUCGAAGAGUCGCCAUGAGAAGGGAUAUCGGAUUGGAGCUUUUAUUUAUUUGAAAUUUAUCUAGUUUUGUAAUAAUUUUGUAUAAACUCUAACUCUAUUAUAUAAUAUAUAUUGGGGAAUCGUCUAAGGGGGAGGGGAUUUACGUGCUACGUGUUUAUUUUACUGCUAUUUGGUUGUAUUAGAAAGCAUAUCGAUAGGUUGUGUUCGCCUACUUGCUCACUGUUGUGAUAUCUCUCGGUGUAAAUUAAUUGUUUUUUCCUAAUGUUGGUUUAAAUAUAUGUCGUCUUCCUUUUGCAUAUCUGAAUAUAUAUUAUUGACAUUUAGCAUAUAAAAUGAUAAACAAAUAAAAUAAACUUUCACAUGCUCUACUACUCUCCUUUAUGAAUAAAAUAAAUGUUGUCCAAAUAAUUUAUUUGCACCAUGUGAAAAGUUAGAAAGCAUGUUUAGAAUCUAAAUAAGUUUGAUAGUAUUGUGGUUAACGUGCAUAUAGGCUUUUAAUGAUCUUUUUAGCCUAAAUAGGAGAUACCAUGUUUUAUAAGUUUUGUAUAUCUACCACUGUUUGAUCGUAAUUAAGAUAAUAUUAAACAACUCCGAUUUGAUAAUGAUGUUGGCUAAGUAAUCACUUUAAUAGUUUAAGCAUGUCAAUCAAUUAGUCAGAUCUUAAUAGCUUUAGUAUGUCAAUUUUUAGCGUUAUUAUCAACUAGUAAACCAUGCCUAUAGGACUAAAUAAAAAUAUGUAAAAAUAUAAUUCUUCAGCGUGUUAUAACUAAAUAUUAUUUUUUUGUGCAAGUUUUUGAUGUUAAUGUUUUUAAAAAAAAAUUGGCUGCUUGUUAAGAGAUAAAAUUUGCAUAAUGAUAUUUUAUGAAAUUAAAAUUUGAAUUGUUUUCAAAUAAAAUCUGCUCUUGACUAUUUCUUGUAUGGAUUAAUAAUUUAUGCAUUUGCCAAACUACUACCGCUUAAAAUAAUCAUUCUGCACUAAUAAUUUGCUGCUACUUUUUAAGUUUUUCUGCAAUAAUCUUCAGUCUUUUUUUUAAAACAAAACGAAAAAAGAAUUAUAAUCAUGUUGUGUAUAUUUCUCUUUGUCUAAAUCAUUGUUCAAUCCAGUUUUCAAAUUUGGAUUGGAUAUGACUCUUAAACUAUCUACAAAUACUAUCUCCUAACCCAUAGUUAGUGGGAAAGUAAAAGGAAUUACGAGGUCUAAUUCCAUUUUUUUUAAAUAAGCCGAUGCGUCCUCAAGAGUACCACCUACACUAUAUUCUUCAAAAAAGGGAAUCAUGUGUAUUUAUAUGUAAAUAUUUAUGUGCUUAUGUGUAUAUUAAAUCUUUUCAAUCGUCUUCAAAAUAUAAACUAUUAUUAAUUUUUAUAAGAUCGACCUCAAAUCAAAAUUGUUUCUAUGGUGGAGGAGCGCGAUUAACAAUAUCGUGGUAUUAUCCCUAUAAAGAAACAAACAUUUAUUAUUAUUUUUAAAAAUAUAUGAAAUAAAUUCUAUUCAUAAAUUGCUCACUUUUCAAAACUUUAUCUUUUGCACAUCUUAUGCUUUUUUGGGGUAGUUUAAUAAAAAUAAAACCGGAUUAUCUUCUACAUCUAUUUGCGCAUAUUCUGUCUCCUUGCUUAUCUCUUUA
rnacentral:lncRNA from 1 species